UAACAUUUUGUAACAGCGAGAGCUGCUACCUGUUGUCAGUUUAGACUUCUGUGCAGACAUUACAAAGUAACAGUGCCAAAGUUAUCACUUAAUGCAAGUUGUCCAUCAUCCCUGAGGAAGUCAGCAACAGAUUAAGUCCUUGUUCUGAAGUAGGCACUAGAGCUGCCUGUCCUUAUUACAGCACUGAGGAGUCCUUGUACAUGCCAUACACUCCACCAGGUGUGUCCUCCUCUCAGAUGAGCUGAUCCCAGAAACAGAUUCAGUGGGCAUGUCCAUGUGGCAGGCCAGUAGGGGGCGCUCCUGCACUGAGACACCUGCCACACUGCGCCCUACCAAAAGCCAGGCUUCAGAUGCCUUCUCAGGGGCACCAACUUCUGGUCAAUCCCCUUCCUGGAGCACACCACCCAGACUCAGGCCUUUAUCUGGGCCCUGUGCCACCUGGGAUACACAUGCCCUAUAGACCUUGGGAUCCUGAAGUGCUUCUAUUAGCCUGAAGCACAGAAAGUAGCCUCUCUUUGUCAACAGAACCAAGGGGACACAAAGGCAUACCCGAUCCCUCUCCCAGCAAGUUCACCAUGCUUGCAAUAGUGGAGAGCUUUAUUGGGCACAGGGGCUAGGCU